rnacentral:tRNA from 1 species
GUCCCCAUCGUCUAGCGGUUAGGACGUCGCCCUUUCAAGGCGGCAACACGGGUUCGAUUCCCGUUGGGGACGCCA